GAUGAACGCUGGCGGCGCGCCUAACACAUGCAAGUCGAACGGAGAACAUUUAGCAAUAGAUGUUCUUAGUGGCGGACGGGUGAGUAACGCGUGAGGAACCUGCCUUUCGGAGGGGAAUAACACAUCGAAAGAUGUGCUAAUACCGCAUAACGUCAUUGGGUGGCAUCAUCCGAUGACCAAAAGAGCAAUCUGCCGAAAGAUGGCCUCGCGUCCGAUUAGAUAGUUGGUGAGGUAACGGCCCACCAAGUCUGCGAUCGGUAGCCGGACUGAGAGGUUGAACGGCCACAUUGGGACUGAGACACGGCCCAGACUCCUACGGGAGGCAGCAGUGGGGGAUAUUAGUCAAUGGAGGAAACUCUGAACUAGCGACGCCGCGUGAGGGAAGAAGGUCUUCGGAUUGUAAACCUCUGUCUUCGGGGAAGAUAAUGACGGUACCCGAGGAGGAAGCUCCGGCUAACUACGUGCCAGCAGCCGCGGU
rnacentral:rRNA from 1 species